UACGAAGGGGGCUAGCGUUGUUCGGAAUUACUGGGCGUAAAGCGCACGUAGGCGGAUACUUAAGUCAGGGGUGAAAUCCCGGGGCUCAACCCCGGAACUGCCUUUGAUACUGGGUAUCUCGAGUCCGGAAGAGGUGAGUGGAAUUCCGAGUGUAGAGGUGAAAAUUGUAGAUAUUCGGAGGAACACCAGUGGCGAAGGCGGCUCACUGGUCCGGUACUGACGC
rnacentral:rRNA from 1 species